AAACUAGUGCCUAUAUGGGAUCCUGUUGCUUGCAGGGGGAGGAUUAACCAAUUAAGCCAUCACGCCAACUCCAAAUGUCCAAUUUUUAACAUCAAUCAUACAUGCAAAGAUUCACAUGCAGACACAAUAUAACAAAAUCAUUGAAGAAAAGUAAACCUUGAAAGCUGCAGAUGAGAAAUGGCUCAUUGUGCCUUAAGAUGUCCUCUAAGUUGUUCAGCUGACUUCUCAUCAAGAAUAAUGGCAUGAGAAGGCCUGGGGCUAGCCAGGUAGUGUGGUAUAGCUACUUAAGCCACCACCUGUUAGGCCAGCAUUCCAGAAUGCAGUUCAAGUCCUGGCUGAUGUGUGUGCCUGGGAAGGAGCAGAAGAGAGCCCAGUUUCUUGGGCUCAUGCUAACUGUGAGGGCCAUGCUGUGGUGUAGUGGGUAGAGCUGCUGCUGUGGUACUGGCACCCCAUGUGGGAGCUGCCUAUGUCCCAGCAGCUCCCCUUCCCAGCUAAUGGCCAGGACAAGCAGCAGAGACCCACACGAAGCUCCUGCUUCCUGACUCAGCCUGGGCUGGCCAUAGGUUUUGCAGCCAGUGGGGAGUAAACCGGUGGAUAGAAAAUUAUCUUUUUUCUCCUUUCCUUCCGCUCCUUCUUUGUCUUCUCCCUCUGUUAUUCUUUCAGAUAAAUGAAUAAUUUCUUUUUUAAGUGCUCUACUAACAUAGCCCUCAGCUAACAUCACAGCUAAUGGAAGAAGAUAAAAACGUUCCCACCUGCUAAAGGAGUCAGAGAAUGUGUCUGCUCAGACCACUUCUGUUACACAUUGUAUUGGAGGUUCUGGUAGGAUAAUUACGUAAGAAAAAUGAAAGGUAUCUAGAUUAGAAAAGAAAUAAAGCAAUUUGUAUACACAGAUGACAUGAUUUUGUAUGUGGAAAAAACAGAAGAAUCCAGGAAGUGAAUUCAGCAAAGUUUUAGGACACUAGAUUAGUAUAAUAAAGAGUAUUUCAGUAUAGCAAAAGGUAACAAACCAAAAAUCAUAACACCAAAAUCAUAGCACCAAAAAUAAUAAAAUGCUUAAGAAUUAUAAGGAAGUACAAAACUUAGCACUCUGAAAAUCACAACCCAUCCUUGGGAGGAGACACCUUCCCAACAGAUGAACGGAUGUGGUAUGAUGAGACGCUGUCGGAUGUCACGUGUGCUGUGAUGAGGCGCUGUCGGAUGUCACGUGUGCUGUGAUGAGGCGCUGUCGGAUGUCACGUGUGCUGUGAUGAGACGCUGUUGGAUGUCACGUGUGCUGUGAUGAGGCGCUGUCGGAUGUCACGUGUGCUGUGAUGAGACGCUGUCGGAUGUCACGUGUGCUGUGAUGAGGCGCUGUCGGAUGUCACGUGUGCUGUGAUGAGACGCUGUCGGAUGUCACGUGUGCUGUGAUGAGGCGCUGUCGGAUGUCACGUGUGCUGUGAUGAGGCGCUGUCGGAUGUCACGUGUGCUGUGAUGAGACGCUGUUGGAUGUCACGUGUGCUGUGAUGAGGCACUGUCGGAUGUCACGUGUGCUGUGAUGAGGCGCUGUCGGAUGUCACGUGUGCUGUGAUGAGACGCUGUUGGAUGUCACGUGUGCUGUGAUGAGGCACUGUCGGAUGUCACGUGUGCUGUGAUGAGACCAUGUCGGAUGUCGCGUGUGCUGUGAUGAGGAGACAUUGUCAGAUGUCGCGUGUGCUGUGAUGAGGAGACAUUGUCAGAUGUCGCGUGUGCUGUGAUGAGACGCUGUCGGAUGUCACGUGUGCUGUGAUGAGGAGACGCUGUCGGAUGUCGCGUGUGCUGUGAUGAGGAGACAUUGUCAGAUGUCACGUGUGCUGUGAUGAGACGCUGUCGGAUGUCGCGUGUGCUGUGAUGAGGAGACAUUGUCAGAUGUCACGUGUGCUGUGAUGAGGAGACAUUGUCAGAUGUCACGUGUGCUGUGAUGAGGAGACGCUGUCAGAUGUCGCGUGUGCUGUGAUGAGGAGACAUUGUCAGAUGUCACGUGUGCUGUGAUGAGACGCUGUCGGAUGUCACAUGUGCUAUGAUGAGGAGACGCUGUCAGAUGUCGCGUGUGCUGUGAUGAGACGCUGUUGGAUGUCGCAUGUCGCGUGUGCUGUGAUGAGAUGUUGUCAGAUGUCACGUGUGCUGUGAUGAGACGCUGUUGGAUGUUGUGUGUCGUGUGUGCUGUGAUGAGGAGACACUGUUGAGGUGGCAGUGCUCCUGCAUGUUGACUUACAAGUGAGUCUGUCAGUCCAUCACAGUCCCUACCCAAAGUCCCAGCAAGUUUCUUUGCAGAAAUGAAGCCACUGAUCCUAAAAUUGAUGUAGAGAAAUAAAUGCAAACAAUCUAGAAAAGCCAAGAGUCUUGAAAAAGAAGACCUGUUAACAGAGUUUGUGCUUCCAGAUUUGAAAGCUUGGAACAGCUGCGGUUGCCAAGAGACUUUGUUCCAGGCAUAAGGAUAGCCAAAGAGAUCCCUGGAGUAUGAAAGAGAUUUUCAAAAUAACAUUCACAUGUCUGGCCAGUUGAUGCUCAUAAAGGCACCAAGACCGUUUGGCACAGGAAAAAUAGUCCUUUCACAAAUAAUGCUGGGCCAUUGGAUAACCACAAGCAAAAAGCAAAAUUGGGUCUUCUACCUCACAUUGUUAUCUUUCAAGAAAGACAUAGAACCAAUCUUCAUGUGGUUACAUUUGGUUCUAAUCAUAGGUUAUAUCUUUAGCAUAAACAACCAGAUUAAUAAUAAAUAAAUUAGACUUCAUGGAAGUUGAAACCACUGUACUUAAACAACAACAACAAAACCACUAUCAAGAAAAAAAAAAAAAACACUCCCAGAAUGGGAAAAUGUCUUUGCAAAAAAUGCCUAAUAUGGAUAUUCAAAAUAUAUAGGAAACUCCCUAACUCAGAAAUAGACAACUCAUUUCAAAACGUGGAUGGAAAAUCUGAUUAGAAAUUUCUGCGUAAGAUACAGCAGUGACCAGUACACAUGUUGAAAUUAUGUUCAGCCUCAUUAGCUGUCAGGUAAAUGCAAAUGAAAGCCCCAGUGAGGAUCUGUUUCACACUGGGAUGUUUUUCAUGAAAGAUGUGACAUGUGUUGGCAAGGAGGUGGAGAAGUCAGACCCUCCAUUAUGUGCUAUUGGUGGGCACAUAAGAAGGUGUGACCACUUUUCAAAAAACAGUCUGGCACUUCCUCAAAAGAUUAAGUGCACAACUUCCAUGGCCCUGAAAUUCUACUCCUAGGUAAAAUGAGAAAUGAAAACAAAUUUGCACAAAAGCUUGUUCGUGGCUGUUCAUUGUGGCAUCUUCAUAACAGCCAAAAAUAGGGACACCUCAGAUCUGUCAGCUAAUGACUGGGUCACUGCAUGAGUAGGGUACAUUCAUACAGUGGGGUUUGGCUCAGCAGUGUAAUCUAAGAAUGAGGUGCGUGCUACAUGCUGGAUAAACCCUGAUAACGUGCCAAGUCAGAAAGGCUAGUCGCCAAACACCAUGGGUUUAAUGACCACCUAGAACUGAAAGGUUUGGUCAGAAAUGGGACUUACUGCUAAAUGCAUACAGGAUUUCUUUUGGAGAUGAUUAAAAUGUUCUAAAAUUGAUUGUGGUGGCUGCACAACUCUGUACUUGAUCUUAGCCUAAGGUCCAGAAGCGAUGGCUACCCAGCUCUGAAUAUGCCAGAACCCACUGAAUUGUGGUCAGCUGGGUAGAUUGUAGGAUAUGUGAAUUGUAGCUGUUGGAGUGGGGUGUGGCCAGACUCAGAGUAGUCACCACCUUCGUCAUUGUUAUGGCAGGGAGAAGCACAGGGAGCACAGGCCUCCUGAACCAGCUGGGUUCUCUUCUCAUCCUCCAGUAUAACUUUGUUGCUGAACUCUUGCCUUUGCUUUAAAUAUUAUGUUUCUUUGAAAAACACGUACUCCAGGGAGUAUGUGCGGUCUGGGCUAUCUGGGCUGUGGGAAUUGGUGAUUUGAGGAGUCCGGGCUGCUUGUGUGUGUCUCUGCAUGCACAUUCGUUGUUGAGGUGGGCCUGGGUGCCACACACCGUCUGCCCCUCCACCCUGGCCCUGCCAGAGCCCCUUGAGCUAGGUGAUGAGGAUGCCAGUCAGACAUGCAGCACAGGCAGAUUCUCGCCCAUGGUCCUUCUUUUUGUCCUCACAUAUUAACUGGACAUGAUUGAGUAAUUACAGCUUUUCCCCCCAAGGUAGAAGAAAAUACAUGUGAGCAGGUAGCACUCUGUGCAAAAGUCUAAGUCUUAGUUGCCAUUAAGGGCUUUCAGAUUGAAAACAAGUAGCAAGCAAGCCUCUGCAGUUCCUUGUGUCUUCCAAGUUAUCAUGUUAGAUGUGCGUGUUAGUCUAGUUCCUUGAAUCUUUGCAGUAUUAGCAGUCUGGUGUUGUUGCCACACUGCUGUUUGAAGCACAGUCGCCCAGCUGGAGAAGGGUGGCCAGCCCAGCACUCUGGCCUCAGCAGUGUCCUCCCCUGCCAUGCUGCCUCUCUGACAUGCUUCAUUCAACAGCAUCUCUUCUCCCGGGGUUGUGAUUUUAUACCACCCUUGGAGAUAGCUGGUGAGUACUCCUAUACCUACAUGCUUUCAGCCCUUUCAGGGGCCUCCAGGGCAGCAGGCCCAGGAAGGAGCUUGGAAGGAGUUAGUUAAUACUCAUCUUUUCACCAUCAAGGUGAGGAAACCAAAGGGAAGAUCUUUCCUAAGGCCCCCGACCCUGUGGAAGUCCUCUGAGCAGUGCUCUUUAAGUCACAGGGACCCUGCCAUGAUGGGCCGCCUGAGAAUCAGGUUUCUCUACUCAGUCCUACAGUAACCCUCACCACUGCCCAGAGUGGCCCGGGCCAGGGAGGAGGUGCUUGGGCCAGAGUCUGUCUGCAGUUGUAAUUCCAGGGCCUACAUACUGGUCCCUUGUUCCCCUCCUUCCACCGUGACCUAGAUGACCUGCAGUUUUGUGUCAGCUGAGUAAUAGAGUAAAUGAGAUGGAUUCCCUAAACCUAAGGUAUGAUGCCUGACACAUCCUGUCCCGUCAGUGUGGCUUGUCUGCUGACACUGGGAAUAGUGAAAUGGGGUAAGAAGAUCUGCUAAUUCAUGUAGAUAGUGCAUUCAUCUGGAUCACUAGUGUUAGUUGUGAUUCCUAAUCUGCUUUAGGAAGUUGAAUCUUAGAAUUGCUUCUCGGCCUUUUGGCUAAGAUCAAGUGUA